rnacentral:tRNA from 1 species
GUUAGGUUAGUUUAUACAAAACAUUAGUUUGUGGCACUGAAAAUGAGAUUUUAUUCUCACC